UUCGGUUUUUUCGAGUCAAUGUUGUUCUUUUCGAGGGUUUUUGGUUUUUGCUGCUGCAACAGAGAGCGUGAGCACGCGCAAGGGUCUGAAUUCGCGAAUAAACUGAAACACAUGAAGCGAAAUUAAGGCCAACACGGCGAAAGCUCGUCCAAAAAAGCUUGAGAGAAAUUGUUGGACCAGUCGGUGAGGGGCAGAAAGGGGAUGGGCCACCCCCAGCAGCUGUUUGGGCUGCACGUGAGCGAAAAAAAGAAACCCGAUCGAAAAUUAAUCGCCAUCUUGUCAACUCUUAUUACCCAAUAAAAAUCGGCACGCUUAUCUAGGCCCCUGGCGGUUGGCCGGGAAUCUUCGGUGCUCUUAUCUUAUCAAUGGACUCCCACACCAGCGUCCAACAAAAACGAACCAUUCCUUCUAUUCAUCUCUCUCCCUGUCUCUUUCUUGACAACCGGCGUCUUGCAACACUGGCCUCGCAAACAGGCUUGCUUUACACCCAGAUCACUGGAGAAAUAUAUCGAUACGAAAUAUACGCUCGCAAAAUUUGAAAUUUAGUUUCAGGUACGAAAAUUAUUCAAAAUGUUUCUCUGUGUAAAGAACGCUUAUCGUGGACUCAAGAAAGUAUCAAACAGAUUUAUUUUAAUUGCACUAUUUACGCAAAUAUAAGGCCACCAAAUGAAUAUAAGUUUUCUAAAUCUUUCUAAUCGGACCCUCCCAAGCCAAAUAUUUCCUUUUGCUGUGUGCCGAAAGAAGGGAUUUUAGAAAAGUUUGAAUUAUUGUUAGUUACAAAAU
ensembl:ncRNA asRNA:CR45611 antisense RNA:CR45611